GAGCAACGAUUUUCAGCGGUGAGGUCGCCAAGGACGGAGUUAUGCGCCUCGCCUGGGCGGUCGUGCAUUGAGAUGCUGGAAGGUCUGUGAUAUUCUUUCUCGCCUUUGGUUGGAUUUCUAGCAAGAAUUUAGCUCGAGAGAAUUUACAAAUAGCUGCGUUUGAUAAGAAGGCUGACCGCUCCAAACGCGAGGGAUUCUCUACUCAGUGGCUUUUGGCCACUACAGGAAUGGCGACUACGUCAAGAGCCGGCGAUUGAUCGAGCAAGCUCUCGAGAUUCGAUUGCUCCAAGCUUUGAUAUUGAGGUCUCUGAUAGAAAACAAGAUUGCAAAAGGUUGGCUUUCAGAGAAGUUAAUUUUUGCAUCUUCCUCAGCAGCCGUGGGACUCGAUAAGUUCUGACAAGGCCGGACGAACACAAGAACAAUUCUCCGCCGAAAGCCACGGGAUAUAAAAAAAAUGGAAUUCGAUCUCACUCAAUUUCGACGUUUGGCAACAGUUCAGUCACUCUUCCUGUAAGAGAAAUUGUAAUUGACUUCACACAGCCAUGAACGUACCUCUUCUCUUCAUUGAGCUUUUAA